GUAGUGAAUAAAGGAGUAACCAUCAAUUUGUUGCUUUGGCUUUUUGGCAAAAGCAAAAACCCUUCCUUUCCAAACAUACAAACUCAAUCCACAUCCCAUUUUCAAUAUUUAGCACCUCUCCAUCUAUGCUGAGAAAAACCCUCUUGUAUUGCUGAUGUUAUUAAUCAACAAUGGAUUCUUUGGAAGAUACCCAGAAUUGGCAGUCACUCGCCGCGCCUCCCCAGUUCCCUCAAAUUCGGUUAAGCACGGUAGACUGAGAACCAAACUAAGAAGUAAGAUUUUGAACCGACAGCAACAAAACCGAACCGGGUGAACACAGAACCGCACAAAACCUACCAGCCCUUGCGUGAACCGAACCAACCGAGUGCAAUCGCAAAACAACGUAGACGACUGGAUCUGGGAUGACAGACUGCUGCGGCUAACAGAAAAUGCAUUAUGGUCAACGUGUGGCCAAGAAAGGAAAACACCAAUCGGAAGUAGGUUGCACUGUUCAGGUUGGCGGCUAUGGUUCCGUCGAAGCGAAGAACAGGAUUAUCAAUUCCUUCGACUCCGCUUGUCCAUGUCGCAAUUUCAAAGUAGAGAGGAUUUAGCCCAUUUUCGAGCUUAUAACGUAGUUAAUGAUGCUGCACCUUGGACCAUUUUCGGUCAGGUAUUUACUUCACUUUUUCUUUUUGUCGUUUAAGAUUUUGGAAUCAGCCAUAUAUUGAACUUUACAUGAAGCAAGGCUUUGUGAUUUCUGAGAGUGGCUUUGCUUUUAUAAACGUUAUUCGUUUUUGUUGUCUCCUGUCUGUAGUAAUUGCCUCACUGCAAAUUCAAGGAAAGUCUCUUUUUCAACGUGCAGAGCUAUGUUGGUUUUUGUGCAGUUAUGUAUUUGAGUUUUGCUCUACAAGGAUUGGAACAAGUCCUCAUAACCGGAGGAACCCCUCCAAUUGGGAAUGGAUGGACGGCAGAUUCUGUAUAUAGAGCAUGGCUUUGAAAAAGUUGUAAUUCGAAAUGAGAAGUGCUACAAGAGGUAUCCGCAGGAUGUUGAAAUUGCCUGCUGAGUUGUGAAAUACUUGGCCGGAAAUGGAGGUACAGGGUGAGUAUGUUUGUCUAGAGUUCGUUUCGUGUAUCAUCAAAAAUUGCUAAAAAUUGGAUCCAAAUGCUUAAAAUCCUUAGUUGGUAUCUUCUUCACUUAAAAAGCCUUUCUUCCUUGUGUUUUUAUGUAGGUUCUUCUUACUUCUGGUGGUGUCUUGACACCCAAACGAAUCAGUUAUUUCCUCCUCAAUGCUGUCAAUUUCUGUUAGUCAAAUGACUCCAAGUUCAUUCUUGAAUGAUGCUAAACAGUUGGUCAUAUUUGCAGAUUGAUAACUCAUUUAAA